GGGUAGAGGGCUGACAGCUUAUCACUCUCUUGGAAACUCAGCAGCUCAGAAGGCUCUCAGGUAAGCUGUGGAGAAUGAGAACACAUGGGAGGUGACCACUGUGAGAAGUGUAGCCAGAGCACCUGAGAAGCCUGCUUAGUACCACAGGGCUACAGUUCCUCAGAGCUACAGGAGCACACCUAGGGGAAGAGGCAGGCACAGUACAAUGGAUGCUUUCUGGUACUAAAAAUCUUGUUUCAAGUUGGAAAAGUUAGUACCUGAUGAUUAAAGGAGAUGGGAAUGAUUUAGAAGUAAACUAGUGGCUUCAUAAGUCAGUGGGACAAAGAAGCUCAACUAUAGAAAUAGAAGCUAUUGUCAAAUACAAUUGCUUACUUCAUGUUAGCAAAACUGGCAGGAGAUGGAUUAGGGUAUGAAUUAUUCUACCCAUUUUAUGAACAGGAGAAUUGAGGCUCUUGUUAAAGGAAAUAGUUGAUGGCAACAAUGGUUUACCCCUCUAUGAGUAUGAGUCCUUGUGGUUUCACUGUAGGCAGUGUGUCACUCAUCUUUCCCCUCUGAGUCUGUUAAAGUAACUUCCUUUGGACAUUAAAUGGGGUGAAGUAUAAGAGAACGGAAUCUGACUCUGGGUCUCAAGGGGCUGCAUGGAUUUACACAUUGCCUUCUUCUACAGUGGCUGUGGCUAUGAGAAGAGUUAAUUGGUGCACUCUCAGCCUGGGCACUGGA
rnacentral:lncRNA from 1 species